rnacentral:lncRNA from 1 species
CAUCGCCGCCGUCCCUGAAUCCGGUUGGCGUCGUCUCCCCCUUCACUGUCUCUCUCUUCUCUCAAUCCUUUUCUCUCUCUAAAGCCGAUUGCACACUCAAAUCGAGCCCUAAUUCCCCCCUUAAACUGUCUGCCUCUCUCUCCCUCUAAAUUCAGGCGUCGCCGCCGUCCUAAGGGCGGCGUUGCUCCGCCUCAUCUCUGACUCCCUCUUCCAUUCCUUAAUUAGUUCGAUUUUGUUUCCACUUCUUAAACCCA